UACCGUUUAGUAUAUAAGGGGAGAAUUUACGCAUAACUGUACUUGAGUUCUUUGCUGUUGUUUGCUUUGAACGGAUUUCAAGAUGAAGAUCGCCAUUAUUAUUGCAUCUCUUGCACUUUUGUGUUGCACUUUUUCUGCACCUGUUCAACAGGAUAAUUGCGAGAUUUUAUUUAGUAAAGAGUUGUGUUCAAGU
rnacentral:lncRNA from 1 species